UCCGAUGUUUAUCGCUGCAUGGAAACCAUUUCAGUAUUCACUGAGCUUUCUGACAGUAGGGACCUUUGAUUUUACAGAGGUUAGUGAAAUAGCCUAUACAAUAGAAACCCCCCAUAUAAUUAAAAGUAAACUAACUCAGUAUUAAUUUUUAACUUAGCCUGUCAUACAUCAGUGUCUGCUGCUUUUGGAGAAUUCCCCCUUUGAUGUUUGUUUUCUUUUUUUUAAUACAUACUUUUCAUUGAAGCUUCAAUUACCAAAUGCUUAAAUUUAGCAUUUUAAAAUAAAUGUUUUUUACUAUAGAUAAAUUCAUUACAUGUAUCGAUCUAAACAAGUGGAUUUCAAUUAUGGUCCUAAAAGGGAUGUCAUUAAGAACAAACUGUUUUUAUGAGACUUUAUAUUUUAAACUUUUGAAGGUCAGAGAUGCUGAAAGAGCAACUCCAGUAAAAGAGGAGCGUAAAGAAGCAGGUGUUGGUUCCCAUUUCAAAUCUUGAACCUAAAUAACAGGGGUUUGAAAAUGAUGCUACUCUUGUUCUUACUCUCCAAUUUAGAGGUGAUGAAAUCCCCCGGCCUGUGGAUUAUUUGACCAAGAUGCCACCUGACCUUACAUCCUCUGGCAGAUCCUGAUGGGAGUCGUUACAAAGAGGACGAUAUGGCUUUAUGGUGACUUUCCCUGACAUGCAAGGUUUUCAGAGACGUUUUCAGCAAGCCCAAGUUCAGAGAAAAGGUCCCCUUUGUAUGUCCAAACAGUGUUGUGAACUGGAGUGCAUUUUCCAGACAAUAUGGGCAAGAGCUCGGGGUGCCCUACUCGUUGACUUUGAAAUAUACAAGGACUGCCCACCUGGAUAUGUAGGUGAUGGCAGAAGGGGAGUUCUGAAUGGGUUUUAUUCCGACAAGGAGGUUCAGGGCUAUUGCUCAUUUGAUUGUUUUUUCAAUGAUGGAGGGGAACUUCAGGCUGUGUAGAUUGUGUGUGUACGGUUAAUGUACGUGAUUAUCUGUAUGUGUAUAUUAUGUCUUUUAAACAAUUAUUUUUGUUUUGAAAUAAAAGUUAUCACUGGUA